UAGCUUAUUUGUUAAUGCGCUAGUCUCUCAUACAAGAUUCCUGGGUUCGAAUCCCAG
rnacentral:tRNA from 1 species